CCUACGGGAGGCUGCAGUGAGGAAUAUUGGUCAAUGGUCGGGAGACUGAACCAGCCAAGCCGCGUGAGGGAGGAAGGUACAGAGUAUGGUAAAACUCUUUUGUCAGGGAACAAAGGCGGGGACGUGUCCCCGGAUGAGUGUACCUGAAGAAAAAGCAUCGGCUAACUCCGUGCCAGCAGCCGCGGUAAUACGGAGGAUGCGAGCGUUAGCCGGAGUUAUUGGGGUUAAAGGGUGGGCAGGCGGUCUGUAAAGUCAGCGGUAAAAGCCCGGGGCCAACCCCCGGCCCGCCGUUGAAACUGGCAGUCUCGAGUUGGAGAGAAGUAUGCGGAAUGCGCGGUGUAGCGGUGAAAUGCAUAGAUAUCGCGCAGAACUCCGAUUGCGAAGGCAGCAUGCCGGCUCCACACUGACGCUGAGGCACGAAAGCGUGGGUAUCGAACAGGAUUAGAUACCCGUGUAGUC
rnacentral:rRNA from 1 species